CCCUUAGAUGUCCUGGGCUGCACGCGCGCUACACUGAUGUGUCCAGUAAGCACCUAACCUCUUCCGAAAGGAACGGGUAACCUUUGCAAAGCACAUCGUGAUGGGGAUAGAUUAUUGCAAUUAUUAGUCUUGAACGAGGAAUUCCUAGUAAGCACAAGUCAUCAGCUUGUGUUGAUUACGUCCCUGCCCUUUGUACACACCGCCCGUCGCUCCUACCGAUUGAAUGUUCCGGUGAGCUCUUCGGACUGCGCGGUCUGCAGUUUCGGCGUUCCGUGCGGAAAGUUGCGCAAACCUUAACAUUUAGAGGAAGGAGAAGUCGUAACA
rnacentral:rRNA from 1 species